UACGGAGGGUGCAAGCGUUAAUCGGAAUUACUGGGCGUAAAGGGUGCGUAGGUGGUAUGAUAAGUUAACUGUGAAAUUCCUGGGCUUAACCUGGGGUGGUCAGUUAAAACUGUUGUACUCGAGUAUGGGAGAGGGUAGUGGAAUUUCCGGUGUAGCGGUGAAAUGCGUAGAGAUCGGAAGGAACACCAGUGGCGAAGGCGGCUACCUGGCCUAAUACUGACACUGAGGCACGAAAGCGUGGGGAGCAAACAGG
rnacentral:rRNA from 1 species